GAUGAACGCUGGCGGCGUGCCUAAUACAUGCAAGUCGAGCGAACAGACGAGGAGCUUGCUCCUCUGACGUUAGCGGCGGACGGGUGAGUAACACGUGGAUAACCUACCUAUAAGACUGGGAUAACUUCGGGAAACCGGAGCUAAUACCGGAUAAUAUAUUGAACCGCAUGGUUCAAUAGUGAAAGACGGUUUUGCUGUCACUUAUAGAUGGAUCCGCGCCGCAUUAGCUAGUUGGUAAGGUAACGGCUUACCAAGGCAACGAUGCGUAGCCGACCUGAGAGGGUGAUCGGCCACACUGGAACUGAGACACGGUCCAGACUCCUACGGGAGGCAGUAGUAGGGAAUCUUCCGCAAUGGGCGAAAGCCUGACGGAGCAACGCCGCGUGAGUGAUGAAGGGCUUCGGAUCGUAAAACUCUGUUAUUAGGGAAGAACAAAUGUGUAAGUAACUAUGCACGUCUUGACGGUACCUAAUCAGAAAGCCACGGCUAACUACGUG
rnacentral:rRNA from 1 species